GAGUUUGAUCCUGGCUCAGGAUGAACGCUGGCGGCGUGCUUAACACAUGCAAGUCGAACGGGAAAUAUUUCAUUGAGACUUCGGUGGAUUUGAUCUAUUUCUAGUGGCGGACGGGUGAGUAACGCGUGGGUAACCUGCCUUAUACAGGGGGAUAACAGUCAGAAAUGACUGCUAAUACCGCAUAAGCGCACAGAGCUGCAUGGCUCAGUGUGAAAAACUCCGGUGGUAUAAGAUGGACCCGCGUUGGAUUAGCUUGUUGGUGGGGUAACGGCCCACCAAGGCGACGAUCCAUAGCCGACCUGAGAGGGUGACCGGCCACAUUGGGACUGAGACACGGCCCAGACUCCUACGGGAGGCAGCAGUGGGGAAUAUUGCACAAUGGGGGAAACCCUGAUGCAGCGACGCCGCGUGGAGGAAGAAGGUCUUCGGAUUGUAAACUCCUGUUGUUGAGGAAGAUAAUGACGGUACCUGACUAAGAAGCUCCGGCUAAAUACGUGCCAGCCGCCGCGGUAAUAC
rnacentral:rRNA from 1 species